CAUGCAUAGGUAUGGGUGUACAUAAUAUCAUCAAGCCACUAAGGGCAUCCCAUCAUAUCGUCUCGGCCACUGUGGGCAACAUCAUCAACAUAUACCAGUUGAUUAGGUGGUGGUGCAUAUAUAACACCGUAACCUUUUUCCAUACCUCAUAUACAUAUAUUUACAUAUAUACACGUAUAUAACGUCAUCUAGUCAUGGAUCAAUGCACAUGUAUAAAUGAGUAAAAUGCAUGAAAAAUACAAUAAUCUCAAUAUUCCUUCCGGAUAAACUUUUUCAACUGCGUAUCAUUAUGAGACCCAAAAACAGAAGAUACUAAUAAUUCUCAUGGGGAAUCAAGAAUAUAAACACCUCUACUGUUUUUAUGAAUAGAGUUAUUUACAAAAACGAUGUGUUUGUUCGUUUCUUCAGUAUAAUUUAAAUCGUGUCAAAGGAAAGAAGAGAGAGCCUUAACGUACCUGUUUCUUGAAUUAUUGAACUA
rnacentral:lncRNA from 1 species